UUUUUUUUUUUUUUAUGUAUACAUAGUAAAAUUUAGGUUAAUAUUAUGUUUGUAGAAUUUUAAUUCCACAUCAGCUUUAUUCAAUAGAUGGUUUAAUACAUUUUUGUAUGCGUGAAUUAAUGUAAAGCAUAAAAAUUUAAAUUAAUUAAUUUCAUUUGUUACAACAUGUAAGAUUUAACAAAAUAUUAUUUGAAUGGUAAUUCUGUAAAGUUUAUUAUGUAAAAUAGUUUUUAACAUGAUUUUUGUAGUAUUUUACUUAUUUUAUAGAGGAAUCUUUUAUAGCCAAAGAUAAAAUAUACAUUCACACAAAACAUCAUUUAAAGUACCAGUGUCCUUUGUGAUUGUAAAAUGUUUUGGCUCAUUUGCAAGAGGAUUAAGUAGAUCUUCCUCUUUUAAAGACUAAAUCAUUUUGGCUCAAAGUUGGAUCACUACUGAGAUUUUAAAAAGAGAAUUAAUCAUACAUAGAUAUGAUAGCUGUUUCAAAUGGUAAUUCUACUUCAACUGCUUUGUUAGCCAUAAUAAACAUUCUAGAAAGCUAUAGUAUUAUUAGGCUAGGGAUUUAUAGAGUCAAUUCCCUCAAAGUUCACAACCUCUUUUUGAUCUAUGACUACUAAAAAACUAACACAUAAUUUAUUAAGUUUACAUGGUAUAGAGCACUUAAAAAGAGUAAAUCACAUAUGUGGCAUGCCCCACACAUGUGCCAUUUCUAUUUAAAUAUUAUAAUGCACAUAAUCAUAUUUUGAUUGGUCAAAUGCACACAUAUUGUAAUAUGCAUUUAACAUAUCUGUAUUAUAAUAUUGUGUGAAAUUGAAAAUAAGAAAAAUAUAUCUGCACAGAUGUAAAUAAAUAUAAACCCAUGUGCAAUCAUAUAUUCAUUUCUAUAGAGGGAAAUAUAAAAUUUUAAAGGAAUUAUAAUAAAUAAAUAGAUAAAUAAAUAAAUAAUCUUAUAAUGUUUAGAAAAUAAUUUUUUAUUAAAAAUUUCCAAAUAAGUAGCAAGAUAAAAUAUAAUAGAAGUUCAAAUUAAAUCUAAAUAUAGUGAUCUAAAAUUAAACAUGAUGACAAUAAAUAUAAAAUAUAAUCCACUAUAAAAAAAAGUCAUGUAUGCAUAUAGCACAAGCUAUGCCAUUUUAAAUAUUUUGAGAAAAACUACUACAGAUAAUUAUUAUUUAAAUGAUAAUAGUUAUUGUUAUCCAAAAUGCAUAUGUGAUUCUAAAAGCAUCAUUAUUCUAUAAAAGUCAAAUGGUGAAUUUAAGUGAUUUAUAAUUUGUAAUAUUGUAUAUACUUAGAAUAUAUUUAGAUAUUUUGGGAGAUUCUACCAUCUAAUCUUGUAUUUAUAACUUAUAAACUUCUAGUAUAUUCUAGUUUAUUCUAAAAAAAAACAAUUGUGUUUAUAUUAUAAUUAUUUUUCGGGCUUAAAAUUAAUUCUAUAAGUGAUGCUCCAACACCUUAAAAUAUUAAAAAGUAAGAGUUGAACUAUAGACACUCACAAUAUUGUUAUUAUAAAGUUCUUUAGUUAUUAUAAGUCCAACUACAUGGUUAUUUAGAGUUUAUUGUGCAAUAUAAUAAGAAGUUUUAAUUGAAUUACCCAGACUAAUAAAUAACACUAAAAGAAAGAAUUUAAGUUAUUUAGAUUAUAUCUCAUUUAUUCUACAGUAAUAAAUAUUCUUACCAAACAAAAAAAAGUGCUCUGGUCAGAGCUUUAGAGGCUUUGGGACAGGCGCACCUCUUGGGGCAGCAGCCUGUAGUCGAUCUCCAGCUCCUGGAACGAAUCCUUGAGAUGGAUGAGGAGAUCCGAGCGGCGGAUCCACUUCUCGCCCGCGUUCUGGUGAUUCAUCGUGUGCUGGAGCCACAGGGACAUCCGGACCCUGUUCAUGUCCUCGAUCUCGCGCAUCACCACGUCGUGCUUGGGAUGCCAGUGGUGGAGGUGGCUGUCGAUGUACCGCUUGAUCCUCACCUUGAGCGCGUCGAUCUUCUCGGCAGGGGUGGAGAUGUGGAGGCUGAAAUCGAUGGCGUCGCCCAUGUCGGGGCUGCGGUAGAAGUUGCUGAUCGGUUUGGUCGCCAGCACGGAAUUCGGGUAGUAGAUCUUCUCGUUGUCGUAGCGGAGGAAGACGGUGGUCAGGAUGUUCAUCUCUUCCACCACCAUCUGCAUUCGCAUUUGCGAAGAUCAUGAGAUCCAGUCAAGGCAAAAACAAGGAAUUCAUUCCAGACCUGAACUCCAUCGACCACGCAACGAUCGCCCACGUCGAAGGGAUGCAUCGCAAACAAGAAGAUGAUGGCCUCGAACACCGUCUUGCAUGUGUUGCCAAAGACGAACACCGCUAGAACCAGCUGGGACGAGAGCGCUACGAGCAAGUGCGUCGUCGCGAUUCCCAGAAUGAGCAGCCAGAUCACGAGGAUUAUGAUCCCCAUGAUCACGUCCGUGAUCCGGUGGAGCUUUUUUACCGCCGUCUUGGUGUCAUUGAGCGAGAAGGAGAGCGCCCGCUUCUCCCGGUAUACAUUCACCUAAAGAAGAGAGAGAUUAAGAACCCUAAAAUAUAACAGAGGACUUUGAACUCACCACAAAGUUGACGAGCGCUUGCUUACUGAUCUUGCCAGUCUCCAUGGCGCCAUCGAAGAGCGCGAACGCCUUGAUCGCGCACUCCUCGUCGCCCAGGAACCUCAUGAGAUCGACGAGGGAGAGGCAGCGGCAUCCCGGGCGAGCGGCAUUGUUGAAGAUGUGCUUGGCCGCCGCCUUGGCCUGCCAGUCGCCCUCCAAUCCGCCGCUACCGCCCCCGCAGGAAUCCUCGUCGGAGUCGAUGGCGUGCGCCAGCGUCGUGAUCCGCGGCGAUUUGGCGAGCCGGAUGAGCCUCUUCAUGUUCCAGGCCGAGACGUUCUUCUGGUUCAUGCGCUGGAGGUGCUCGAUGCUAAUGGGGCCGCCGCUCUUGUGAUCGCCACCGCCACCACCGCCAAUGUUCCCGGAUUUCUUGAGCAAUCGCGGGUCAGCCUCGCUAGAUCUCUUGCCAGCCUCGCCGGAUCUCUUGAGCACCUGGCUCGGAUUGCCCUGGCUCUCCAGCAGCGGCGGCCCCGAGAGAGACUCGAGGAUGUACUCAUUGAAAAGAGACUCCUGGAUGCGAUCGAAAAAGGUGUUGACGUGAAAGCUGAGCGCGAGCACCUUGACGAGGAGGAUCUUGACGAGCCAGAGCGAGGCGGCGACGAGCAGGCAGAUGAGGAUCCUGGUGACGAUCUCGAGGGCCUUGCGCUCGCGCCGGAUGGGCAGCGGGAGGUUUGGAUCGAAGAGGAGGCGCCAGGCCAGGAGGAUGAUCCCAAACCACAGGCAGUUUUGGACGCCCUUGUGGAGGCCAUAGACGAAGUAGACGAGGCGCUUGCGCAGGAUGAAGUUCCGCUCGAUGAAGAAGACGAGGAAGCGGAUGAUCCAGCCCGAGAGGAGGCGGCCGCUGAGGAUGACGAGCGCGAGCACCGCCCAGCGCCAGAGAUGGAGGCCCAGGAGCUUGCGGCGCUCGAGCACCGGGAUGUUGGUGGUACACACUAGGGCCCCAAUGCUGAGCGCCAGAAACCCCCAUUCCAAGAACACCCACAGAUUCCAGGGCUUGUGGAUGAGAUCGUCGGGCACGUCCAGUGGAUCGUCCUCCGCCGCCCCGGUCGCCGAUCCUGCCGCUUGAGCGUCCGGGGAUUUGUUGAGAACUCCCGAGGAUUUGAGCAGCCCUGACCGGAGAGGUGGCGGCGGUGGAUCCCCGAGUCUGGAUUUGCAGCGACCGUAGGAUGGAAUCCUGGAGGCUGCCUUGGCGGAGGAUGGAUCGAGCGCUCCAGCUUCGGCGGCGUCAGGGUAUCGAUCGGACGUGGAGCUGGAGCGGCGCCGCAACGAGGCCUUAGUACUGGGUGAUUCCCAGAAUGUGAGCUCGCCGUCCACGCCCACGCCCGGAUCGAGCUGGAAAUCCCCGGAUUCCUUCUGGUGCCUCAGGAAUUCGCCGAUGAGCUUGGUGGGAGGAUCGAUCGACUGCGCAGCCGAGAGAGUGGCGGGAUCGUCUUGGAAGAAAUAGCUGUUGCUCCGUUCCAGGGAUCCCUCUUUCCGCUCGUCCUCGGCAAUGUGGGUGGAAUUUCUCGCGAGGCUUGGCUGCCCGGUCGGGGAUGGAGCGUCCUCGUCGAUCCGGAGAAUGACCCUGUCCAGCUUACUCCCAGCAUUGGCCUCGCCAUUCAUCAUCAUCUCCUUGGCCACAGCACCCAUGGAUGGAUUCCAAUCAAUCUUUUCCUUGUGAAUCCGCGAUCGAGUAUCUCCUCUCUCGCGCUCCUUUCGAUUGAAUCGAUCGAUAGCGCCGAAAUUCCAAGACAGGAGUCCCGAAAUCUAGCUCGAGCUCCUGUUCUCCGCGACAAGGAAAUAAAUGCGAGGAGGGAGGGAGGGGAGAAGAUUAUUCUAUUGCGUGGAAAACACCUACGCGGACAAGAGAGAUCGAUCGAAUUCUCGUCCCAUUCCACGCAACGCCAAGGAGAAAGCGAUCGAUUUGGACGGAUUAUAAUGAAGAACACAUGAGAGCGCGAGUGCGCGAGUGCGCCUGCUUGGUUCCCAGGCGAGGUGUCAACGAAACGCAGAUUUUGCGGUCAAUCUUUCUCUCUCGGCAAUUGGGUAGAUAGAUACAUUCGCCGCCCCGCACGAAAAACAACUACGUACGUGGCGCCACGCCACCCCUCCACGUGUCGUUAUAGAAAGCCACUUUUUCCGAUCAGGAGAAUAUGCCGCACGAUGGUUGCCGAAAUCCAAAGAAAGUUCCUGGAUUAAAGUUCUCUAGGUGGAGCCUAAGAAUUUGGGUGAUUUCCAGAGAGAAAGUUAAAAAGAAGAUACGAUGAAUAUGGAGGGGUCAGAUCCUGGUUAACGUGGAUGGCAGUGUGAAAAAUAUGAAACGUCCAACCCUUUGGAAACACAUAGCUCCAGGGACAAAAAGGAUUAAAUUCAAUAGCAAAGUUACUUCUUACACCAUUGUAUUCUAUUUCAUUUCUCUGACUGGAAUUGCAUUGUCUCGUCAACAAGACGAGUUGUCACUUGUAUCAUCCCAUGUCAAAGAGACUUUCUCGAAGAAUUCUUUGGCCUUCUCCCUGCUGCGCGACCGAGAUUGAUGUGACAAGAAGACAAAGCGUUGGUUUGUUGCCAGAUGUUGUCACGAAGUCAGCAAAUCCAAGCCCUACGAAUGGCUUUGGCAUGAGGAUCCAAAAGGGCAAAGGGGAGUAGUGUGCUGCCCAAAGAAUGCUGGUUUGUCAAGAGAGGUCGUCAUGUGUGAUCUUGCAAAUAACAGCUUCAGAUUGACAAAUUCCACAAUCUCAGACACGAACACUUUCAACAGGCGAUCCAACCCUUGGACGGGGUAGCCGAAUUUAAAAGAGGUAAAAAAGACCUCUUGCAACGUAGUGUCUCCACCUUUUCGAAGACAUGAAGAUCAAUGGAAGAAUCACAAGCGGCUCCACAAGAGCGCCAUAUCCUUUUUCACUCCACGAGGAACUUCCUCUUGUUUUUAUCAAGAAUAUGCGACAAAGCUUUUCUCAGUCAUGGCGAUCUCUCUAGGUAGGCUAGCAGCACAAGUCAUUUGCGGUUGAUUUCCACAACGUAUCCGUCUUCUGGGAUUCGCAGUGGCCAGUUUCUUAUUGCCCCGUUUGGAGCUUUCGGCUUCCAGCUGCGAGAAGGAAUUGUUUUUUCUUUUGAAGAACUUUAGGAAACUUAAGUACCUGUACUGUGUUACUAGCCUGUGAAAGAAAACGAGGAUUUCCAGUUUAGCAAGCUCGGCACCAGGACAAGUUCGCAAACCGCAUCCAAAUCCAAUGAGAGUUCCCGGUUUUUGUGGAACCUGCGAAGUAUGGUAAGGGUUUUCUUCGUAGCAAAUCGAAAGAAAGUUUUAAUACGAGGAAUCUGGAGGGGUCAAAUUUAUAAGGAUCAGCGAAAUAAUCUUCGUUCAGGUGGAUGGCAGUGUGGAAAAUGUGAAGCGUCCAUCCCUUUGGAAACACAUAGCCUGGAAUCCAUUGAAAACAGGAGGAGCAAAUUUUAUAGCAAAACCACUUAGAGCUGUUUACCAUUGUACUCGACAGUGUGUUUCAUCUCUCUGACCAGCAUUCCUCCAGUUGCAGAUCUUAGAGUCUCCUGAAGAACACGCAUAGUCACUGGCAUUCUUCUUGUAUCCUCCCAUGUCAAGUGAGGUUGCUCUCUUUCUCGAAGAAUUUUCUGGUGUUCUUCCUGCAAGCGCGAACAAUUAAUAUAGAAGAAGAACUGUCUUUUGUAGGAUUUACCACAAGUUCCUUCAAGAUUUCGGGAUUUUCUUGCAAGCGUUUCAUCAUCCACACGAGCGUGAGAGGAGUAGUGUGCUGCCCUGCAAAGAGCAAACCAACAAUAUUGUCCUCAAUCUGCUGGUUUGUUGAGUUGAGGUCCUCGUCAUUCAUGAGCUUAUGCAAGAGGUCGUCAUGCGUGAUCUUGGAAAUCCUCCUCUCGUUUAUCAAUCGAUCAAGGUGAUAGUGAAGACGUUUCCGAGCCUGGAUAUGGUUUCAAAUCAGUUCGCAAAGAAUUUCUCCAAGACUUACCUGAAGCGCUCGAUGGUAAUCAGUGAACGGGAGAUUUAUGGGAAGCUUAAACAAGCCUCUAGAAGCCACGGUUACAUCGUGCAUGAAAUCUCCCGUUUUGGUUUGAAAAAUACGCGGGUCAUCACAAAUAAACGCGGUGACAACGUCGAAAGUUAACUGCAAGAACAGAACAAGAGCUUAGAACUGGCAAAGCUCACAAAUCACAGAUACCUGUAGUGUUUCUUCCAAAACGGUAACACAUCCCUUCCGUUGCCAAGAAGUCAAUAAGUCCAUAGCAAUCUUGUCAAACCUUUGGACAUGAUUCUUGAGAGCAUCACCACUCAUGGAGCUCAGUAUUGCUCGGUGAUAUCUUGCAUGUGUUGCUCCUUCCACAUAUCCCACACUUUCUUUUCCGACAAUCAAGAAGCCCGAGUUUGAAGGGGAGCAACAAUUCCUUGCUCCAGGAUUUGUGAGGAAAAACUUUACAGCUUCGGGAGUACUGAUAACAAUACUUUGACGUCCGAACAAGUGAGCCGAAAAAAUGUCCCCAAAUCUGUUGGGAAUGGAAAACGAGAACAGAAAAAGCUUGAAAGAUGAAAAAGAAAAGAGAAAAAUUACCUCUUGCGACGCUGGAAAACGAAAUCCUCAGCUGUGCCUCGCAGAAGUUGUAUUGUCUCGCCAAGAAUGGGCAAGCCUCGAUUGCCUGGUGGUGUUUGCAUGGAGCCACUCUUUCUUUUUGACGAUAUAAGGAAUGCAGCCACUGCAGGGAUCACAAGCAGCAAGUAGAGACUCCACAGCGCCAUAACUUUCCUCCUUACAACCUGAUAACUUCGUCUUAGUUUUAUCGUUUCCAAGCGUGCACUCGCAAUGUUUCGGACAGAACGAGGACUUCAUAACUUUUUGCGUUUUGGCGAUUUCUCGAGGUAGCAAAUGCCGACAAUAUUCAUUUGUCAUUUACUAAUCCAAUGGGAAUCUGGAUGAACUUCUAUCACCUGUCUCGAGCAAGCUAUUUAACUUCAUUUUCCAGCUAUUGACAUGUCUGUAAACCCACCAAAUUAUAUGAUGGAUCGAUCAUAAAACAGCUUAGCUUCAAAGCAAGUGUUUUCGGAACCAAGCUAUAAAGUCUUUGUGAGCCUCCUCCGCAUUCUUCACUGUGGUUUUGUUCUUCACAUCAGAGUCAAUUUGGACAAUUCGGAGUCAAAUGCGAGUUGAGUGGGACUCAAUGAAGUGGAUUUAGAAUGACAUGGUGUGCACAAUUCAAAACUGCAAAACACUGCAUGACAUGUCAUUGGCAUGUUUGUCAUAUCAUCACUGCCACAGGGCGAGAUUAAGAUAUGGAAGUGUACUUCAUAAGAAAGAAGCAAGAAAAGUAUUACAGACUUAAAAAUCAUAUGCAAUCAACUUACUCAAUGUCCUCAAGUGCAAUGGCCUGUAGAGAAGCUAGAGGCAUGACCAUGAGCUGUGCCUUAAUUGGCAAAACCACAAUUACUUGCAGUACAUCCUGUGGAAGCUGGUUCAUUCUGGAAUGAUUAGACCAUCAUCGAGUUUGGCUCUUGGGUGGGUGUAUAGUACAAUCAUGUAAAGGUUGUGAUCAUAGCAAUAGAAUGACCAUACAUCACAACUGACAAAGUCCUUCUGGUUUACCCAUCACAACCUAAGUCUCUCUUCUACAAAAGAAUGCAAUGAGACACAAAUGAAGAGAACAAAACUAACAAAAUUCUUACAUAUUGUCACUAUUUGUAACUUUGAUAAGUCUUGCAAUAUAUAUUAUGACAUUAAGCAUUAUAAAUCAUGAAUUAAAAAACAAUAUCUUUUUUAUAUAAUUUUUAAUAUAUUAUGAUAUUGUGAAUGCUAGGGAUAUAGGAAUAGGUAUAUUGAUUUAAACCUCUGCUUAUAUACAAGAAUGGAUGGAUUAGAUUUAGUUUCAAAUAGAGAGUCUAUAUGUUAUAGUACUAUAAUUAAUGUAUUAGACAGGGUAAUACAUGUAUAUACAUAUAAAUGUUACACCAUCUUAAAGAUGAAAAAGUGAUAAUAAUAAGUCAGAUGGAAUAUUUUGAGCUUUUGUAGGGUGAAUAUAAACUACUACAAAGAGGUCUUUAAACAAAUAUUUAGAUAUACUGACAAUUGUGAUGAUACCUUUUAACAAUUGCAUUGUCUUUGUCAAAGGUUAUCUAUGCAAUUUGGCAUUCGUUUUUUAAGCCUUUUGCUUUGUGCAGAGCCAAAUAUGUUGGAGUGGAUUAAGCUAAGAAUGUUGUGGCCAGUACUUCGUCAAGAUUUUGUCGAACUUGUGUAUGCAUUUACUCUAGCCACCCUUGAUAAUGUUUUUCGUUUAGCACAAUGUUAUGAGACAUCACUUUUUCCACUUCUUGUUGCACGUCUUUCAGCUCCACUUUUUGUGGGUGAUGGUCCUAUUCUAAUGGAGGUUGAUGCUGUUGCUGCUUAAGUUCAAGGACAAGGGCGAGAAUGCAGUCAUGGCCGUGAUGUUCGCUGCUAAGCGUGUGAUGAAGUUGGUCAUACUUUUCGGCAUUGUCGGCGUUUUCCAGAUUUGAGGCCUCUAUUUUUUGGUGGAGACCUUGGCAUCAACAACGUUCUAUUAGUGUUGCUGUAGUGGAAGGUUUGGAUACCGAGAUGCAUCCGGGAAACAAGGAGUUGCAUAAGUAACAGAGGGACCUUGCGCGAAUAAGUAAAUGACUCCUUCAUCUUUUUUUCGGGAGUAUCAUCAAGGGUUCAUUUGGCACUAGUUUAGCUCACUUUCCAAGCUCAUUUUUAUAACAAAAGGUUUUUUAUUGUUCUCUUUGUAUUAGUUGAUAUAGGUCCAAAUUUAUCUUCUAUUGCUCAAUUUGUUACCACACAUUGCCGUUUACACUUGUGUCAUGCGGUGGACUUAGUUUUCAUUCUUUAUGGCAACGGUCGUGCACAUGCAUGUGCACGGGAUGAGGUGGAUUUAGUUGUGCGUGUGAGCAAUCUUAAGGUUGGGUUCUAAUCAUUUGGGGGUGGUGUCGAGUCAAGUUUUUUACCUCAUCCUUGGUAUGGAUUGGUUGCAAUGCAAUCAUGCUAAAUGUGACUUUAAGGUUUCUUCCCUUUGUUUUAUACUUUUUUAUAUUUCAUCCAUUCCUCUCAAUUCUGUACCUCUUUGUCCCUUUGCUUCUACUUCUGCUUCCAUUACUUUUAUCCCCCCACUACUUCCUUCUAUGUUUCCGUUUUGUUCUGCUCUUCCCUUUUCCAAUCCCUCAGAUAGUCUUUGUGUUGCAGUGGUUGACCGGCUCAUAAAUGAGUAUGGCAAUCUCUUUGAAUUUGACUUAUCAUCUAGGGCUAAGAUUGCCACACGUCAUCCAAUUCCAAUUGAGGAUGCUCGUCCAAUCAAAGAUCCUAUUCAUUGUUGGUCAUCCAAAGAGAUUAAGAUUUUAUGUGCAAACGUUAAAGAGAUAUUGAAAAAAAGUAUUAUUCGAAAGUUGCAGAGUUGUUAGGUAUAUGAACCUCAUUUUGUGACGAAGCCUAAUGGGAGUAUUAAAUAAAGUGAUGAUUUUGGAUGUGUACCCUCUUCCUCACCCUGUUGAUCUCUUGGAUCGUUCGGGGAGAAGUUGUUAAUUCACCAAGCUAAAUUUUAUUUUUGGGUAUUAGCAAAUAUCGAUGGCCGAAGAAGAUAUUUUUAAGAUUGUUUUUCGUACAUGUUUGGUUUGUACAAAUUUUUGGUGAUGUUGUUUAGUUUGAACAAUGCUCCAACAACUUUUUAACGGAUAAUGGAUAAAGUUCUUUAUGAUAUGCCAAAGGUGAUUGGUGACUUCAUUGAUGAUAUCUUGAUUCACUCAAAAGGGAUAUGGGAGGAGCAUGUCUAUGAUGUUUGUAAAGUGUUGGAUUGGCUAUGUGACAUUAGUUUAAAACUAAAGUAGUUGAAGUGUGUGUUUAGGUCCAAGGACAUGACUUAUUUUGGGUACCAUAUUUCUCGUGAGGGUUUGCAAAUUGAUCAUGACAAACUUAUGGUUGUUCUAAAGUUCCCUACUCUGAAGUGUAUGAAUGAUGUGUAGCACUUCUUGGGAAGGUGUAGUAAAUUUUCAUUUUGCAUAUUGAUGCUUCUGAUAUUGGUCUUGGAGGUGUAUUGAUGCAAAAAAACCCGAGUCUGCCUGGUCAGUGCCAUCAUAUUGCAUAUAUAAGCCGUACAUUACAACCAAUGGAAGUGAACUACUCCACAAUAGAGGAGUGUUUAGCAGCAGUCUAGGAUUUAAGAAACUUCAUGCAUAUCUAUGUGAAGAAGGAAGAGGAGUUCAAGAAAGGGCAUCAACAUCAGCCAUAGAACUCUCUAAGCAAUGAACAAUAUCAAAAUCAUAUAUCUGAAGCUUCAAAGCCCAUUGAGCAAUACGACCAAUUAGGUUAUUCUGUUUCAAUAAUAAAGUAAUAGUAGCAUGAUCACCUUCUAAUAACGUCCAAAAACCAUCAUAUUUUUAACAAGCCUAUUAUUCCAACAUUUGUGGAUUUUCUAGACGAGGAUUUUGGACUAUUGGUUAUUCCUGUACUUGACGUUUAGUGUCCACAAGGUGCAACACAAAAUCUACCUUUUUUUGAUAAGGUUUGCAAGGCUCAAAAGAUUGAUCUAUGGAUUCGAAGGUUUCUAGAUGGGUUUGAGAAUCCUGCAUUACUUGUUGAUGACUUACUAUUCCGGCAUUUACAUUCUCAAUAUUGCCUUGAAGACAACCUUCUUUAUUUUGUGGGGACAGAUUCUGAUAAUCAUUUACGGCUGGUGGUGCCUUCUGUAUUUAUUCCAUAAUUUCUCCAUGCCUACCAUGAUUCGUUUAUUCUAUGUGGGCAUAUGGGACAUCAUCGUAUAAUCAAGAAGCUGCACAGGCUUUUUUAUUGGCCGGAGAUGCAACGUGAUGUUAUCUGGUAUAUGCGUAGUUGCAUUUGGUGCCAAGCUCAUAAUACUCCCUCUCGUGCUGCGAAAGGAUGAUUGGAGUCAAUUGUAAUUUCCUGUCCAUUUGAGUUGGUGGUAUUUGAUCUUAUGGGAUCUUUUCCGUGAUCGAUUACUAGCAAUGAAUAUGUUAUUAUUUUUUUUAACUAUUUGACUCAUUGGGUGGAAGUUAGUGCUCUUGCUAGCGCCUCUGCAACUACUGUUGGAUAAUUCCUCCUUAAUCGAGUGGUAUUUUAGCAUUUUUGUUCAAAGUGAAUUCUUUCGGAUAAUGGUCCCGCAUUUGAUUGGGGAUAUGUCACACUUUCACGAGUGCUUAUCAUCUAUAGUCAGAUGGUUUGGUGGAAUGACUCAUUCAAACAUUCAAAGGAAUGAUUGCAAAGUACAUGAGCUUUCAAUAUUUGGAUUGAGAUGGUUAUUUACCAUUUAUUUGGUAUGCAUAUAUUAUAAGACUGUAGAGUUCUGUUAAUGCUUCACCAUAUAAACUCCUAUAUGGUCAUGAUCCAAUAUUACCAAUGGAGUUAGGUUUACCUUCGCAGUUGCUACAAGCUGCCGAUGCUAGGUUGUGGGAUCAAUAUUUGACGAGCAUUCUUCUACUUGUUUAAGUAAAAUCUACUGAACACUUAGGCUGCAUAUUAAUGGGACAACAACGAUGCUACAAUUCCCAUUAUUGUCCACUUACAAAGUACAAAGUGGAUAACUUGGUGUUAAUCCGUUUUCCCCAUUUUACGGUAUGUGGUUUAUCUAAGGGGCUUUUUGCUCAGUGGAAAGGACCGUAUCAAGUGUUGUAGCAAUUUGGACCACAAGUUUAUGAGGUUUGGCAUGACAUCCAGCAGGCCAAUCCUCUAGAAAUUGUGCAUGUGUAACGGUUAAAACGCUUCGUACAAAGGGAUUAAAAACAAUUGAUACCACCUACAGAUCUACCGAUACCUCCUCUUGACAUUCAUUCAGAUCCUAGCCCAUCUAUAAAAGAACUCUGAUGGUCUUUCAUUAUUCUGAGAGGAGGGGAUGAUGUGAGGUCCAAAUGUAUAGUUAUGAUACCAUAUAUUAAUAUUAGCAUAGUGGGAUUUUGAUAACCAUCAAAUUGGUUUCAAUCUGGACCACUCCGCUUUGUAUAUAAGUUAGAGUCUUUGGGCUAAUUAAUAUGCACAUUUUUUGUAUUCCCUUUCCAUAUUCCAUACACUCACAAAUGUUACACUAUAUAAUCUAGAAACACAAAAAUGAUCUCCAAAGCACUACCACUCAUGACUACUAACAUCCCACUAUUCAUAAAUAAAUAAGAAAUAAUAAUUGUAUCAUAACUUAGUUGUCCUACUUUCUAAUAUAACCUAAAGGCAAAUAUGAGCAUAAAUAUUGCUAGUAAAGUUAUAAUAAAAUUUAGUAUUAAUUUAUGAAAGAGAUUUAUAAGUUAAAUUUUAUUGCUUUAGGACCUAUUAAACUAGUUUUCAUAUGAAUGUUUUGACAUGAUUUUAUCAAAGCAUAGUUAUAAAACUAGAAAUGAAUCUAGUUAUCAAAAGCAUGUUAUAUAUCUAAUAAUUUGCUGUGUGUUGCAUGUGUAAUACAGAAAGAAAAGCGGAGUAAGAACAACAGAUUUCACUUCGACACACCCAUUGAUUCAUAUAUGGCUGUAUAUAUAUACAACUUCAACCAAAUCAGAAAUCACCAAAGAUCUGAUCACGAUUCAGACUGUUUGUCGUGUUCAUCAUUAUUCCUACACUCCCCCUUCAAGCUGAGGGUGCUUGACACUCCAAGUUGAUUCCUCAGCUUGGUGAAUGUGAGCUCCGAAAGUGGCUUGGUUAGAAGGUCUGCCAACUGAUACUGUGAAGGAACGUAUUCCAGGUGAAGAUCUCCGGCUGCUACAUGUUCACAAAUGAAGUGAUGCUGCAUGUCUAUAUGUUUCGUACGAGCAUGAAACACAAGAUUCUUUGACAUGGCAAUUGCACUUCUGCUGUCGCAAUGCAGAAUGGUCGCAUCUGAUUGCUGUUGAUUGAGUUCUCCAAGUAAUCGACGAAGCCAGAUGAUCUCCCUUGCUGCUGUACUGGCAGCUACGUACUCUGCUUCUGCACUGGAAAGAGCAACCGUCGUUUGCUUCUUGCUUCCCCAUGAAACCGGAGCACCAGCAAUUAUGAAGCAAAUUCUAGAGGUUGAAUGUUGUGUAUCCAAGUUGCCAGCCCAAUCUGCAUCGCAGUAAGCUUGAAGAACAAGUUUGGACUGACCUGAGCAUUUGUAAACUAGUCCAUGAGCAGCCGUUCCUUUCAAAUACCUCAAAACUCUCUUCGCCAUCUGCCAAUGAUAACAACUCGGAGACUGCAUGUAUUGGCUGAGGAGACCAACGGCAAAGGAGAUGUCGGGGUGAGUCAUGUUGGCGAGGUAGAGUAGUCCUCCAACAAGCGAUCGGUAGACCGAGGGCUGAUCAAAUAAAUCAUCCAUCUUGCUUGUGAACUUGAUGCCAGUGACGACUGGUGUAGCCACGGAAUUGCAACUUGUCAUGUUGAACUGGUUGAGAAGCUUCUUCACAUAUUGGUGCUGUAUGAGGGUGAUUGUCCUGUCUGCUUCAUCCAUGUCUGCUUCAUCCCUGUCAACUUCCAUCCCUAACAGCUGCCGCACAGCUCCUAAGUCCUUCAUCACAAACCUGACCAUAAGCUUGAUCUUCACAUCCUUCAAAACAGUGUCAUUGUUGCUGACAAUCAAAUAGUUGUCCACAUAAACUGCUAUCACAACAAAGUGAUCACCCUACUGAAGAAGAUAUAGAUUUCUAUCGCUGUUCAACCUCUACAUACCAAGAUCCAUAAGAAAAGAAUCCAAACAUUCAUACCACUGACGGGAAGCCUGCUUAAGGCCAUAAAGAGCCUUGCGAAGCUUGUAGACGAGUUUGGAGCACCGUGAUCCAAAAAACUCAAAGCCUGGGGGUUGCCGCAUAAAUAUCUCCUCCUUCAAGUUCCCAUUAAGGAAGGCUGUUUUUACAUCCAUGUGAUGUGCGCACAAACCAAACUCCGCUGAAAAAGCCAGAAGCGUUCUGAUACUUGUCUGCUUCACAAUUGGUGAGAACGUCUCAUCAAAAUCCACUCUAGGAACUUGUGAAUAUUCUUGAGCAACAAGUCUUUCUUUGUAAUGCUGUACCAAUCCAUCAGGAUUUCUGUGAAGCUUGAACACCCAGCGUGAUCCAACAACUUCACGUCCUUUAGGAGCUUCCACCAAGUCAUAAGUCUAGUUCUCAUCAAGAGAAUUCAACUCAUCUUGCAUUGCUGAAAUCCACUUAUCUGCAUCAGGAGCUUGAAUCGCCUGCUCAAAGUUGACUGGUUCAAAAGCUAUUUCUAUUGCUGCAAAAGACCAUUGCUUGGGAUGAGGUGCUCUGCUUGAUCGUCCAGAUGAUGUCCGCCCACAGUUCUCCACAUUGAAUGGUAGAUCACGUGUGAGCCUGUCAACUUCUCCAGUUUGUGCAUGAUGAGCAGCAUCACCCUGUUCUUCAGGAAGAAAAGAUCCAAAGACUGGUGUUGGAUGAUGAUCUGCUAAAGGAGAUGAGGGAUAGAUGAUUGUCAGAUCAUUGUCAUCUUCAUCAUCGUCUUCAACACCAUCCCAACUCCAUUCUUCCGGCAUCCAGUUCAUGUUUUGAUCUGAGCUUCCUUCUUCUUGAACACGAUCUUUAUAGAGUGUUCCUUCAUCAAAACGAACGUCAGUGCUUACAAAAAUUUGAUGAUUACCAGGCUGGUACAGGCGAUAUCCUUUUGAAUUGGAAUCGUAUCCAACAAGAAAGGCCAGAUUGCUUCUGCUCUCCAAUUUGCCGAGACGCUCAUCCACCCUUUUUGCAAAGCUUAAACAACCAAAACACCUGAGAUGCACCACCGAUUGUCUUUGACCAGUCCAAAGCUCUUCUGGGAUCUUGUUGGGAUUGCGAGAAUGAGGGAGAAGGUUUUGAACAUGCACAGCUGAUCCAACUGCUUCAGCCCAGAGGAAUUUUGGUAGUCCUGAUUCUUGAAGGAAGCAUCAAACUGCGUUCAUGAUUGUCCUAUUCUUGCGCUCAGAGACUCCAUUCUGUUGAGGGGUAUGAGAGCAAGAGUGCUGAUGAAAAAUUCCUUGUUCAGCACAGAACUACUGAAAGGACUUGUUGACGUAUUCCCCUCCUGAAUCAGUAUGUAAACAACCAACCCUUUGACCAGUUUUCACUUCAGCUUUUGCUACGAAUUGCUUGAAUUUGCUGAAGACUUCAUCUUUGUGACGAAGAAAGAAGACGUCCAUGUGCCUGGAGAAAUCAUCUGUAAAUGUCACAAAAUACUUCAUGCCAUUCUGAGCAAAUAGUCGCAUGGGUCCACAAACAUCUGAGUGAAUGAGCUUCAAGGGAUGAGUGCUUCUGAUCACAGCAAGUUUGAAAGUACGACGGGUUUGCUUGCCAAGAAUGCAAGUGUGACAUUUUGCUGAACUUUGAAGAACGUGGUCGUUGAAGCCAUCCACAAGCUCCUGCUUCUGCAUACGCCUGAUGAGAGGGGGAUUGGCAUGUGCAAGUCGAGAAUGCCAGAGAGAACUAUCUGCAGUCAUGCAUAUCUCAGGAGCAUUCGAUUUUUCUCCAAAAGCUAUCUCCUUCUCAAACAAGUUACCACAUCUGGGAAAAUGCAGUAAUGGACGGCCAUUUGCAAGAACUUGACAUUGAUGUUUGGAAAAAUUCACAUCCAGACCUUCAUCUGUAAGCCUGGCUACAGAAACCAGAUUCUUCACUACCUUUGGAACAUACCACGCAUUCUUCAAGAGCAGAGACUUUCUUCCCAGUGGAACUCGCACAUCCCCAGUUGCGCGAACAGGUAAAAUGCUUCCAUCUCCCACACGAAUGCACUUCCCUUUUGCAGUACGCAACUGCACAAAGUUCGACCCGCUUUGCAUCAGGUGUCUCUCUGAACCUGAAUCAAUGGUCAGUUUUUCAGAAACAUUUGGAACUGCUACCUCAGAUGAUGCUGCAAGUUCCUGUGUUUCCCCUUCCUGAGCAUUUGCUGCGAGCCCUAUGUUCAUGCGCUGCAGCCAAGCUGCAACUGGGCAAUCCUUGGAGUAGUGUCCUGGCAUCCCACAGGUCCAGCAUUCCUGUUUGUUCUUGCCCAGAAAACAAUCUUGAACUGCUACUUCUUUACCAGAAUUCCCUGAAUUCUGCUGCUGCUGCGGAUUUCCCCUAAACCCACGACCUCUGCCUCGUCCUCCUCUUCCACGGCCUCCUCUGCCUUGAUGAUUUCCAGCCCAUAGAGCUGAAUCAGUCCCUGAUUGAUUGAUUGAUGCAGAAGCAUUUGAUGUAGACUGUGAGAUCAAAAUAUGGGAAGGGCUCUGAUCAAAGUCCACAAUCAAACCUUUCGCAGCCAGCUCCGAGCUUAAAUUUUGCUCAGCUUGUUCAAAGUUGAGCGACAUCAUGCGAACAAUAGGGACGAAAGAACUAAAAGACGAAUCUUGCAUGGCCUCGCAAAGUGCCAGAACUUUCUUGCUUUCGUUGAACGCUGCUGGACUGCCUUCAAGCUCCAUCCACAGAUCUUGCAUCUUGGCGAGGAACUCUUCAAAGUUCUCACCUGGAUGAAAACGGGUCUCACGAAUGCAAGUCUUGACCAUGUUGAUCUUGGAGAGGGAAAGAACAGCAUACUUGUUGUGGAGAUGAGCCCAGAUCUCACAAGCACACUUAUGAUGCAAACGCAUCAUAAGGGCAUCUGCAAGCUUAGAAAGAAUCAAUCCUUUUGCUCGAGAUUCCUUCUUCUCCAGUGCAGCUUGUUCCCCUGGAUCAAGCUGUUGUCGAGCUGCUGCAACAGAGGCACGAAUUGCCUCUUCAUCCACGACUUCUCCUUCCACCGAAGUUGAAGCUCCCAACACAGCAGGGGCUUGCUGCGUACGAGCAUCUGCAGCGAUUGUCAGUGGUGAAACGAUUUCCCAGAGUUCUUCCAUCUGCAGCACGCGCAUCAUUUUCUCGGACCAGGUGUUGAACCCUCUCCUCCCAUCAAAGGCAGUGACUCCCUGAAGCAAGAUCAAUCCAACUUUGCUGCAGCUCAUGAUGUGAGGCACAAAGAAAGGAGAAGAAAGAGUUCAGAAACUGAGCUCCGAUACCAAGAAAGAAAAGCGGAGCAAGAACAAUGGAUUUCACUUCGACACACCCAUUGAUUCAUAUAUGGCUGUAUAUAUAUACAACUUCAACCAAAUCGGAAAUCACCAGAGAUCUAAUCAUGAUUCGGACUGUUUGUCGUGUUCAUCAUUAUUCCUACAUAAUACUUGGUUUGCUUAUUCAUAUUACUUCUCAGUUAUUAAUCAUAUUGAUCAAUUUAAAAUUUAUAGUUAUGAACAUGUUUAUAAUUUGGAUUAAUCUUAAACAUUAGAAUAAACUAAAAUAUACUAAGAAGUAUUUAGGAAUUUUAUAAAUUAUAAAUAUAUAAUUAAUCUAAAUGAAUAAAAACUAUACAAAAUAACUACCAUAAAGGAUGAAUCCUAUCUCCAAAGUGUCUUUUUCUUCCACGGAUGACCCCACUUGCAAUUUGUCGAUCAAACACAGUGCAAAGAUUAGAUUGAACUUAACAUUGGUACACAAAUCAAACCUUUGCAAUCAAAAUUGAUUUUUUCCUUCUCUCUCUCUCUCUCUACCAAAACUAGACCUACAUUUUACUGUAGUUAACAUAUGAUUAUUGGCUCACUUCAUUAGGGCUGAUAUUAAAGAUGCCCUUCAUGUUGCAAGGUUCAAAUAAAAAAUUACACUUUUUAAGAAAGGUAGAAAAAUAUUUUAACUAUAAAAAAAAGUCAAUUAAUUAAUUUUGAUGAUAGAUCAAUUUAGGAUAAAAACAUUAACAUUUCUGUAUGAUUAUUCUUAUAGCAUGGUAAUAUUAUAAUUAUAGUACUACAAUAAAAAACAUAAUAAACUUUUUCAUCCAAAUUUGUUAAUUAUUAUAAAGCCCCACAUUUAAAUUACCAUUAAACACAUAAAACUCUACCACCAAAUUCAAUUAUUUAUUACCCUUCUAUAGCAAUAAAUAUAUGCAUUAUAUAUUACAAUAUAUGCAAAUUUAUUUUUUUGUUUAAGUUGCAUGCAAAACAAUUAUACACACAAUCACUUUUCAAUUGCGAUAUAAAAAAUUGAAACAUGAUUAUUUGUAUAAUUGUUUUUAUUAUAGGAUAUGCUAUGGGGCAUGACACCUUAGAUUAUCAUGCAAGACCAUAUCAAACAACAUGAAGUCACUACAAAUUUAGUGGGGCUUUUUUUUAUUUUAUUUUUAUGUUAUUGAGUGUAAAUUUAUGAUUUUCUAACUAUGAUUAAUCUCUCUCCUCCUUUGUGCAUUAUGUCAUUCGCCUUUCAUUUUGCAUGGCUAUGCUUUAUUUUCUGUAGCUUGGAGGCAUUUUCAAUUGUAGCAUGCAUUAAUGUAAACACAAUGCUUUGAUCACUUUUGCAAGUGCUUUUCAUUUAUCAUAACUUAUUUGUAACAUAACACUUUAAUUUAUAUAGUGAUUGAUUCUUGUAAAGGCAAGUAUGAUCAAUUAAAGCGUAGAAGUGAAUGCAAAGUUUUUCUUUGAAUACUUAAAGUGUUAAAUGCAAUAGUUUUUCUGUGAGCAAGUGGAUUUUAUUGUAGCUACAAUAAAACAUUAGUUCCAUUGACUUCUUACAUUCUUAAUCACACACACACACACACACACACACACAUAUUUAUAGUGAUUUGUUGCACUUGGGCAUGUUGGUUUAAGGUAUUUGGUGUAGUUUUAUUAUAAAUUUUAUUAUUUUUACUGAUAUAUAAAUUGAUAUGAGUUUUGGUAAGAAAGAAAGUGAAACUGAUAUAUUUUAUAUAGUAGUUUUACUUCAUGGUUUUUCUUACUAGUUUGUUUGAUAUGUAGUUUAUAACAGUUAUUUUAUAUAGUAGUUCAUAGUUUAUCUACUAGUUUCACAUAUAGUUUGAUAUAUUGCUUAUAUGCUAGGUUAUUUCAGUUUUGUAGGUUCCCUAGAUACGUCUCACCAUCUCAGCCAAUAAGCGCUGCAUACGAGCCUGCAGCUUCUCAUUAGGCAGGUGACUGCAAACAGACACGUCAGUGGAGAAGCAAAGAAAUAUUUCAUUUUCUUACCUUAGUUCUUCCUCCACUUCAGGAGCCCCACUCACACGGCCUUGCAACUUGAUGAAGGCUUUCCGUCUCCAAAAUGCUCUUCUGGCAUCGUUAGGCCGCCAUGAUGGAACUCCAGCUAUUCGCGUCCGGAGUCUCAUUUCUUUAUGGAGGCCAUGCUAAGAGUCGUCGUUGGUGAUAAAGUUCCCAGUUGGUAAGGGGUACCACUAAAAAAAACAAAGUACAAGAUUGAAUUGCGCAAAAUUAAAUUGACCAUACCUUUUCAGCGAUAUAGAAGUCCCCCACAAGGUAUUUGUUCGUGGGAUAUCGCUUGGGAUGAUAAUCAUUCCAAAGUUCCAGUUCUGCGAUUCCAUCGUCAAGGGACUUGAUCAAAUCCGAUUCGCUCUUGGGCUCUACUCCUUUCUCCUCGCAAUGUUCUGCAAAAUACUGAUGAAGAACAAGGUUUCAGGCACAGCCUCAUCAUGUACCGGUAUAGCGAAGAUACGAGGCUAGCGAGAUUGUGUUUUCGGAGACUUCCACGAGGCCAUGCACGUCUAGAACACCAUACGUGUAAGAGGAGCCACCAAAGAUAGGAAGGUAAACUGGGUCGUAGUGGCCAUGGGCAAUGUUGUGCCGAACUUCGACUCGGCCAUACCCAACAUUCUGUGAGCAUAGAAACCAAAAUAAGCAAAAGAAAUGAGAAAAAUGGAAGCCUGCACCUGAAAGACUGCUUGGUCGGAUUCAUUUGCCUUACACUCAGCGAUGAAGGGGCACAGCUCGGCCUUCAGUUGGCCCUUCUUCCUCUUGGAUAGCUUUGGAUCUUUGAAAACGCAAGGCUUGUGUGUCCUGAACUUGAUGUCCGUCCUCGCGUGCUCCGGCAAACCAAGCUCAUCCUCGUUCGCCUCGGUAACUCCUUCCCUCUCAGAUCCCGUAGAAAAGCUGGAACUAUCCUGUAACAGUCAUAUACUUCCUGUCAUCUCUCAUUACAUGCAAGCAUACGUACCAUGAUGCCAAUCUCCACAGCAAAGCCUUGGAGAGCGUCGUCGUCAAGCUGCUGCAAGUGCUGGACCGUUUGCAGCCCAUUCAUGUCACCACGCAUUCGGAGCCUUUCCUUAAGAUCUCGAAGCUCCGUUUCGGAGGGGGUGGACAUCCAGUAGAACAUCUCAACAAGGGCGAGAUGCCACGGCCGCAUGUUCCCCUCGGUUCUCUGCUUGGCGUAGACGCUAGCAUCACAAGGCCCUCAGUUAGCAUCAAACAAGUCCAGGAGCAAAAGGGUUCUCUCGGACAACGAACCUUUCCACCACUGCGAGGCGCUCCCACAGGAGGCUUACGACGGUAUCCAUCGUGUCUUUGGCUAUCAAGCCGCCAAAGAAUUUGUUCUUUGUGCCCAGUGCUUGCAGCGAGCCCUCCGUCUCCCAGAUCGUGACAAAGGGCUCCACUGCCCGCAACACCCCAAUGUGGUACGAGCUUUCUGGCACAUCGAAUGGAUUUCCUUUCCUUCCCUUACCAGUAUCGGCGCUGCGCUUGCGCUUCCCCGCCAUUAGGGUAAACGAUAGUUCUUAAAAUUUACAUAUGCCGUGAUCGGACGGUCGGUUAUGCAUGUUUACCUUUUGGGUGAGUAAAUAACUUUUGCUUAGCUAGAAUAUUCGACAAAUAUUGCUGGGAAACAACUCAAGGUACCUAUCUCAUUUGAAGAACCUGGUUUUGCCUGCUCGAUUUUCAGGCUAAGCAGCAGCAAUGUCCGAGCAGACUCUCAUCGACCAAUAGCUGAGCUCAAUGAUAAAGAUUGAUUCCAGGAGAUGGAUAUAUUCUUUUUUUCGCCUCCCAAUAGCCCUCUUCCUCCAUUUUCUCGUUCUUCGAAUCCUCUCCUACCGCAAGCCCCUGGCGGCGCCGGAGAACGCAUCGAUGCUGCCAGAGAUGUUCCCGAGCAAUCUGCUAAUAUAAAAAAAGCUUGAAGCGGAGAAGAGAAACAAAAAAAAGAGAAAUAUUACCUCUUGCGACGCUGGAGAACGAAAUCCUCAGCUGUGCCUCGCAGAAGUUGUAUUGUCUCGCCACGAAUGGGCCAGCCUCGAUCCCCUGGCGGUGUUUGUAUGGAACCACUCUUUCUUCUUGAAGAUACAAGGAAUGCAGCCGCCACAGGGAUCACAAGCAGCAAGGAGAGCCAUAACCUCACCUGAUAGCUUCUUGCAGUGUUUCGGACCAAACGAGGACUUCUGUAACUUUUUCCGUUUCGGCAAUUUCUCAAAAGAAAUCCCGACUUAUGUUACUCAUCAAAUGAGAAUCUGGAACACGCCAAAUGUCUUUUGACAGCAUAAGAAACGUUGACAUCACCUCGAGCGAGCUAUUUAAUCUGCAUUUUCCAGUUAUUGACACGUCUGUAAAUCCACAAAAUUAUAAGAUCGAUCAUAAGCAGCGUAGCUUAGCUUCAAAGCAAGUGCUUUCGGAACCAAGCUAUAAAGUCUUCGUGAGCCUCCUCUGCGUUCUUCACGGCGUUUUCGCUAUUCACAUCGUAGCGGACAGUCCAGCCAUGAGCAGUUCCUGGGAAAACCUUGACAAAGUGAUCCUGCGGAGGCAAGGGAUUGUCAGAUGAACAAAGGAAAAGAACAAGAAAACGAGUGGAAGGAGAAAACUUUACCUGGUUUCCAUGCUCGAGGUGUUUCUUAAAUUCAUUCACCAUAUCUACUGGCGUUACAUGAUCGGUUUCAGCGGCGAGGAUCGCCAGUGGUGCCUUGCACGCUGCAUAGAAAAUUUCUCUCACUUCUUAGCAUUUAGCAAGGAGAAACAGCGGAAACUUGGCCAACCUUUUAUAUCGUCUAUAGUAACCAUCGAAGGGUGGCACAUCACAAGUGCAUUGCAGGUGGUUUCCUUGGAAGCAAGGAUUACAACCUUGGCUGCAAGAAAAAAAAAAGAGAGUAAAAAAACGCGUUCUUUCUCUGGGACGAAAGAACAAUGAAGAAGAUUACCUCCCCAGCAAAAUCCGGAUAAGCCUAUAGAAGUUAUGCCUUUGGACUGAAGCACAGACACAAGCUUCUUGCAGUCUUCCAGUGGUUUGAGCUGGAUCAAAAACAGAAAAUCAAUCGACAAAUCGAAAAGAGAGAAGCAAAAAGCUUUACGUGGGGUUUAUGGCCUUGAAUCCAUGUUUGAACCGGCCCGGAAGCAUCGGGAUCGAAGAAAUCCCCGUACAAAAGAUCAGGAGCCACGGCAACAAAUCCAGCAGCCGCGACUUUGUCAGCGAGCUUCCUGAGAGCAAGGGAAGGAGAAAUCAAGAGCAAAAUGAGAAUGCCGCCAUAUACCUGAACAGUGGAGCCUUCCAUCCUGAUUGCCGGAAAGAAAAUUUAGUCCUAGGAAUCAAAGCUAGGGAUGGAAAUUACCAAAGACAUCGGAGACCAGAAUGACUGCGGCAGUGGAGGACGCCGGGUGAUUGACAUAGACAUCGAUUCCCCCCCAGGAUUCUUCGCCGCCAACGGACGAAUGCGUCGCUGGAGGAGCCGGAACGCAGCACUCGGGGCCAGCCAUAGCCAAAUAUUUUGCUCCAAAAUAAAAAACCUCGUGAGCAAUUUAAACUCCUAUGAAUGAAGCAAAGGUUAAACCUUGACCGUUCUAGAAAAUUCUAUUAUCUUCUACUAGCACAUCCCUCGAAAGCCUGCAAUCGCCUUGAUCUUCCAGGAAAUUUUUCGUGAUGUUCCAAACAUUUCAUGAUCUUGUACUAGCACACUUUUGGCUUUGCGCCAUGACUUCCCAAAAAUUUUCUACAGUGAAGUGGGAAUCACAAGAAAAAAUUGGUGUCCGAUCUGCUGGAAUCGAACCAGCGGCCUAAGGAUUUCUGGAGCGCACUACAGUCCUCCGCUCUACCAACUGAGCUAAGAUCGGAUGCUUGAACAAGGCUCUGACAAGAAGAAAGUUGUCAGUGCUCGAAUAUGCAAUGCCUAUAGAGGAGUGAUCAAAUUGUAAGCAACCACUCUCCGAUCUGCCGGAAUCGAACCAGCGACCUAAGGAUGUCUGACCAGACACUACAGUCCUCCGCUCUACCAACUGAGCUAAGAUCGGCUUGGAAAAAAACUCCCAUUUAAGAUUAAUUAAGCGGAAGGGUCCCCUUGAAAAAUAUCAUUCGAGCCUAUCCGAAGCGAUAAAGCGAAGAAAUAUCUCUACCCGUAGAGUUCUCUUUUUCUAGCUAUCGCUUCUACCUAGCUGACUGGCAGGUGGAUAGAUCCAGGAUUUGAAGAGCUAGGGUUCUUUGGCGCGUGGGAUCGAGAAGCGAUGAAGCCUAGCCGGAGCGAUGAGAUCCAGUCCCCCGAGGCCGAGCAGCGGCGUGCAAAGGAGGUCCAGGCGCACUUUGAAUUGAUAGCGCCCAAGCGCCCGAUCAAGCCGGCGCGCAGCGAGCCUGGCAGCAAUGCUGGAGGCGCCAUAGCUGCUGCUGACGCUCCGGCGGAUCAGCAGAUUCCAGAGCACGCCAAGCUCUUGGAUCUCGAGGCUCGGUCGGAGGUAGGGGAUUGUUUGAAGAUCGGGAUUUCGCAUGAGAGUGGCUGAAAUUCUUUUUCUUCCAGCCUUUGAACACUCGUGGUGGGCUUGUUGGAGACGACAGCUACGCCGAGAACGAGUACUACAAGGAUUUGAUCGCGGCGGAGAAUGGGCAGCAUCACACGGUCAGUCAGUCCUUCGCUACUGCCAAUUUUCUUCUUUCUUGUGCGUGAUUGAUGGAUCCAUGAAUUCUAUGUUGGCAAUUCUUCCACAGACUGGAACUGGAUUCAUUGAUGCGGGGGCUGCUCAAGGCUCCUCCUCAUUCCAGCUUGUGGAUGAUUAUGGCAACGCUCCAUUUUCAUCCAAUUCUGUCAAAUCCAACCCCGCAACCAACGAUUGGGUGCCUGCUCCGGUAAGAAAUUCGCGAAUACCAGGCCUCGAUUCUCACUGAUUGGGAUCAAACACUGCCAGGGACUGGCACCAUCGACCAAACCACGACGACGAAGCAAUUAAAAACACAAAUCAAAGAAGACGCAAAGAGAAGAUAAGAUUGUUUAUUCUAUUGAAAGCAAAGGAACACAAAUAAAACAAAGCAAGUGAAUCUUUGUCAUAAUCGUCACCCGCCGCCUGUGAGAAUCGAACCCACGACCACGUGGUUAAAAGCCACGCGCUCUACCUGCUGAGCUAAGACUGAUAAUCCGGAAUGCGAUAUUUGGAAGCUCAAGUACGCAGCGGGCUUGAAUGAGCAAUACGAAACCAACAUAUAAAUAGAUUGAUUGAUCAAACAUGAUCCAAACACAAUAGAUAAUAGCAAGAACCACAAAAGAUAAUAGGAAGAUCUCUCUCUCUCAGACACACACACACCCUCAUACACGCAAAAGAAAGAAACAAACAGCAGCAAGCACACAUAUAUUACCUGGGAGGCCAGCGCUCUCUCAACACGGACCUUGGUGCAAAUCGAACUUCCCAGCGGCAGAAUAAAAAGUCCGAUCCUCUUCCUUUGGCUGACCUCACCAGUAGAGCAGCAAGACUUAAGACUUAGACCAUACGAUAGAUACGCAGACCAAACCGUUGAAAACCCCCCAUCUUCUUCUCCUUCGCAAGAUUCUCCAUCGUCCUUUCCCUCGGCUGGAGCUUCCAAACUUCUUCCAAAAGGAAGAACUUUGAUCGAUCGAGCUCGAGCGCG
rnacentral:lncRNA from 1 species